CCCUUAGAUGUCCUGGGCCGCACGCGCGCUACACUGAGUGUCUGAGAUACGAGUCUGCCUGGUCCGGCAAGGUCUAGGUAAUCGCUAAAAGACACAUCAUGCUUGGGAUAGAUUAUUGCAAAUAUUAAUCUUGAACGAGGAAUUCCUAGUAAGCGCAAGCCAACAGCUUGCGUUGAUUACGUCCCUGCCCUUUGUACACACCGCCCGUCGCUACUACUGAUUGGAUGUUUAAGCGAGGUUCUCGAACUGCUAGCGACUUAGCUUCGGUGAGGUCGCAGUGUGGGAAGUGAACCUAGCUUUGGUGUCUAGAGGAAGUAAAAGUCGUAACA
rnacentral:rRNA from 1 species